UUAAAAUCUGUGAAAUUAAUUAAUCAGAAUGAACGUGUUAAAGUCCCAGCUCUACUUUAAACUAAAACCUGUAACACGAACAAUGGAAGGAGCUACCGCAUAAUCCAAUCCGUCCCUGAGGAAAACGCUGUGCAGCUCUUUGAUGUUUCCACCAAACCCCUGAACGUCAGCGGUCCUGAUAGGUGACAGAGAUUGCCUCUCCUCCCGGUCGCCGUGUUUUGGCAUGAGCUAAAUGAACUGCUCCAGCUCCGUCGUGGCGACAGCUGGAUUAGACCUGCUUCCCACCUGGAGCCGGCCCGGCGGAGAGGUGUUUGCAGCCUGGAGGCUUUCCAAUCAGCCUUCAUCCCACCGUCCUCCAGGACAGACCCACGCAGAGGCCGCCCUUCGUGAUUAAAGCUCCGCUGUGCCUGACUCAUACAAUCCCAGUCCUGCAGGCUUCACAACAGCUGGAAUUACUCAGUUGCUCAACCUCGCUCCCUGUGUCGAGCAAAGUCCUGCGGUGUGCACGAGUGUGUGAGUGUGACAGCUAACCGAGGGAACGCGAUAUAUUAAACGACCUUUGUGGCUUGUUGGAUUUCAGGCCUUUGGGGGACAGCCUCAGUCACUGCUGCCAACAUCCACUAUAUCUGCUGCGCCGUUAAAGGGAGGAGAUAAUCAAUCACCGGACGCCCGAGGCGACGGAGAUGUUCUCAUACCUGACACCUUUAAAAGCACGGCUAUAUAUUGUAAAGAAUCCAAACUUGUCACAGCAAAGCAGAAUCCAGAGGAAACAAACACACUGCAUGGAUCCCUGUCCUCACUGUCAGAGGGAAAUCUCUAACAUCGAGUUGUAGAAGUGUGGAAGAACUGAAUCAAGCCCAUAGAAAAUAAAUUCCUCUGAAGAUUCCUGAGAAGUUUCUGCUCCUGCUUCAGCCUCUCGACAUCAGACAUGUUUGUCUGACCCCAGUCACUCAUCACUCACCUGCUUCCUGUUCAGACCUCAGAUCAGCCUCAGGAAGGAGAACAGGUAAUGAACCAUCAGCCCUAAAGAAAUGUUCCCAUCAGAUUUUCAUCAUAAAUAUUUAUCAGUUCACAUAAAUUAUUGGUGUCAUUCUCUGAGCUCUUCAACAUCUCGAGUCUGCGUCCUCUAGAUCUACUGUCCUGCAGCUUCUAGAGGCACCGAGCUUCUCGCUCCGUCUCUGAGGCAGAACCCAGGCGGCCUGAGAAGGAAACUCACUCUGAGGAGGAAGACGCUGUGAGUGAAAUGGCUGUUGCGAACUGGCAGAUGAGGCUUUCAGGGGCCGUGUGUGUUUGAGGCCUCGUGUGCUGCAUUGUCCUCGCUGAAUGGAAGCUCAGCUACAACCCAACCGCUAAUUUACAUAAUGGGAGGGCUGCAGCGAAUAAACAGCAUGAGAAACCCAACCCAGCUUUCCAAUCUAAUUCAAUCUUCACGUAGCUACGAUUACCAAAUCCUACAGCGGACCGGUGGAUGUUCUCAGCUUCAGCAGGAAAACACUGUGGUGCAAAGAAGUUUUAUUUCAGUAUGGAGUUAAAGCAAAAUGUUCCUGAGCUUUUGGAUAAAUAUGUUUGAUUUGUGUUAUAUUUGAAAAUCUGAA